GUGCUGGCAGGUGCUCAGGCAUGAAGCCCAGCUACUGAGGGAGGGAUUCCACUGCUAUGCAGCCCAGGCUGCCCCCACAGCCAAGGACAGCCAGCAGGUUAAAAUUUUGAGGCUUUUUACAAUGACAGAUUUUUGAAUCACUUCUUUUUUUCUCUCUUAAAACAAAGAAUCAAGCUGAGGGGCUUUUUGCUCAUUGCCACAGCCUUGAGAAACUCCUGUUGCCUGAUUAUUAUUUUUAUUUUGGGGCUUCUCUUUGCUCAGAAUUAUCUAGCCCUGCAGGUGGAUUUGAUGAUCUUUACUCCAGGGUUGAAAGGAGACUAGUAUUUGUGCCUUAUCAUUUGUUAAAGCCCACCUAAUAUGGGAGCCACUCAGUAGCCACUCAAUAUCCUGGGAAAAAAAGCCUUGUAAUUAGAGUCUGAAGACCUGGAUCUAAGCCCUAAGCUCUACCAAGUAUUAGCUGUGUGCCUUAAGGUAGAGUUUGUAGUUGUUUCUAGUUGAGGAAAUUGGAUUAGAAUGAAGCCUUGUGGAAUCCAAGAAGAACUCAUUAUUCUUUAGCUGCUUUCAUCUCUAACUGUGUUAGGCAUCCUCCUGCGAUGGUCCCCAAGAUGGCAGCCCCUGGAAUCAUCUGUACAAUUUCCUCUCUUUUCACAGGCUUUUAUGAGUUUUCAACAAAUCUUCAAGGGGCCAAGGGGAACAUUACCUUUGGUCACUAUACUGCCAACAACCUAUGAGCCUGGAAGAGGACCCCAAGUCUCAGAUGAAACCAGGACCUCAGCCAACACCUCAAUUUCAGCCUCGUGAGAUCCUAAGCAGAGGGUACACGUGGAUGCCUAACUGACAAAAACUGUGAGAUAAUAAAUAUGUAUUUUGGAAACUGCUAAA